GGGGAAUAUUGCACAAUGGGGGAAACCCUGAUGCAGCCAUGCCGCGUGUGUGAAGAAGGCCUUCGGGUUGUAAAGCACUUUCAGCGAGGAGGAAAGGGUGGCAGCUAAUACCUGUCAUCUGUGACGUUACUCGCAGAAGAAGCACCGGCUAACUCCGUGCCAGCAGCCGCGGUAAUACGGAGGGUGCAAGCGUUAAUCGGAAUAACUGGGCGUAAAGCGCACGCAGGCGGUUAGAUAAGUCAGAUGUGAAAGCCCCGGGCUCAACCUGGGAACUGCAUUUGAAACUGUCCGACUAGAGUCUUGUAGAGGGGGGUAGAAUUCCAGGUGUAGCGGUGAAAUGCGUAGAGAUCUGGAGGAAUACCGGUGGCGAAGGCGGCCCCCUGGACAAAGACUGACGCUCAGGUGCGAAAGCGUGGGGAGCAAAC
rnacentral:rRNA from 1 species